AAAUAUGAUGAUUAUUUUUGUCGACCGGGCGGACAUAGUUUAGUAUCUGUUGGGUGGUAGCUGUUGCAAUUUAAGUUCUCUUCUUGUGUACAAAUUUUUAAAGAGGAGGAUGGCAGUGGCAUUAUUAUCACCUGGCAGAGAAUGGAUGAUUGGUCACAAGAUAGCUGAUU
rnacentral:snoRNA from 11 species